ACGGAGGGGGCUAGCGUUGUUCGGAAUUACUGGGCGUAAAGCGCACGUAGGCGGCUUUGUAAGUUAGAGGUGAAAGCCCGGGGCUCAACUCCGGAAUUGCCUUUAAGACUGCAUCGCUUGAGCACGGGAGAGGUGAGUGGAAUUCCGAGUGUAGAGGUGAAAUUCGUAGAUAUUCGGAAGAACACCAGUGGCGAAGGCGGCUCACUGGACCGUUGUUGACGCUCAUGAGCGAAAGCGUGGGGAGCAAACAGGA
rnacentral:rRNA from 1 species